UACGGGGGAGCAAGCGUUGUUCGGAUUUACUGGGCGUAAAGGGCGCGUAGGCGGUCAGCACAAGUCAGUUGUGAAAUCUCCGGGCUUAACUCGGAAAGGUCAACUGAUACUGUGCGACUAGAGUGCAGAAGGGGCAACUGGAAUUCUUGGUGUAGCGGUGAAAUGCGUAGAUAUCAAGAGGAACACCUGCGGCGAAGGCGGGUUGCUGGGCUGACACUGACGCUGAGGAGCGAAAGCGUGGGGAGCGAACAGG
rnacentral:rRNA from 1 species